GGAUCAUUUAGUGGAAAAUGUUCCCAGUGGAAAAUGUUCAGGGAAGUCUUUGGGCCAGGAAAAUAGGGUGUAUCUCAUGCCACGCUCACAGCUCUGUCUCUGGGGCAGGGCAAUGGCACUGGUGAGGCUCGGGACAUGUAUGUGCCCAACCCCUCCUGCCAAGACUUUGCCAAGUAUGAAUGGAUCGGACAGCUGAUGGGGGCUGCCCUUCGGGGUAAGGAGUUCCUGGUCCUGGCCCUGCCUGGUUUUGUGUGGAAGCAGCUUUCUGGUGAGGAGGUGAGCUGGAGCAAGGACUUCCCAGCUGUGGACUCUGUGCUGGUGAAGCUCCUGGAAGUGAUGGAAGGAAUGGACAAGGAGACGUUUGAGUUCAAGUUUGGGAAAGAACUAACAUUCACCACUGUACUGAGUGACCAACAGGUGGUGGAGCUGAUCCCUGGGGGCGCAGGCAUCGUCGUGGGAUAUGGGGACCGUUCUCGUUUCAUCCAGCUGGUCCAGAAGGCACGGCUAGAGGAGAGCAAGGAGCAGGUGGCAGCUAUGCAGGCAGGUCUGCUGAAGGUGGUGCCACAGGCUGUGCUGGACUUGCUGACCUGGCAAGAGUUGGAGAAGAAAGUGUGUGGGGAUCCAGAGGUCACUGUGGAUGCUCUGCGCAAGCUCACCCGGUUUGAGGACUUCGAGCCAUCUGACUCGCGGGUGCAGUAUUUCUGGGAGGCACUGAACAACUUCACCAACGAGGACCGGAGCCGCUUCCUGCGCUUUGUCACGGGCCGCAGUCGCCUACCAGCACGGAUCUACAUCUACCCAGACAAGCUGGG
rnacentral:sRNA from 1 species